rnacentral:rRNA from 1 species
AUACGGAGGGUGCAAGCGUUAAUCGGAAUUACUGGGCGUAAAGAGUACGUAGGUGGUUUAUUAAGUCAGAUGUGAAAGCCCCGGGCUCAACCUGGGAACUGCAUUUGAAACUAGUAAGCUAGAGUAUGGAAGAGGGGGGUAGAAUUUCUAGUGUAGCGGUGAAAUGCGUAGAUAUUAGAAGGAAUACCAGUGGCGAAGGCGGCCCCCUGGACCAAUACUGACACUGAGGUACGAAAGCGUGGGUAGCGAACAGGAUUAGAAACCCUAGUAGUCC